rnacentral:rRNA from 1 species
GACGAACGCUGGCGGCGUGCUUAACACAUGCAAGUCGAACGGAAAGGCGCUGCGUUUGUGGGGUGCUCGAGUGGCGAAUGGGUGAGUAACACGUGAGUAACCUGCCCCUGACGUUGGGAUAACUUCAGGCAACUGGGGCUAAUACUGGAUAGGAGCUUCUGCUUCAUGGCGGUGGUCGCUAAGUUACGGCUGUUGGGGAUGGUCUCGCGGCUUAUCAGUUUGUUGGCGGGGUAGUGGCUUACCAAGGCUUUGACGGGUAGCCGGCCUGAGAGGGUGACCGGCCACAUUGGGACUGGGAUACGGCCCAGAAUCCUACGGGAGGCAGCAGUGGGGAAUAUUGCAAAAUGGGCGGAAGCCUGAUGCAGCAACGCCGCGUGCGGGAUAACGGCCUUCGGGUUGUAAACCGCUUUCGCCGGUGACAAAGCGUAAGUGACGGUAAUGGGUAAAGAAGCACCGGCUAACUACGUG